UAGUAUGUAGUGUAAUUUGGUUGCACGAAGAAUUUUGAAUUCUUAGGUACAGGUUCGACCCCUGAAAUUCUAG
rnacentral:tRNA from 1 species